rnacentral:rRNA from 1 species
AUUGAACGCUGGCGGCAGGCCUAACACAUGCAAGUCGAGCGAGCGGCGGACGUGUGAGUAAUGUAUGGGGAUCUGCCCGAUAGCGGGGGAUAACUACUGGAAACGGUGGCUCAUACCGCAUACUAUCGGAUGAACCCAUCUGGGAUUAGCUAGUAGGUGGGGUAAAGGCUCACCUAGUCGACGAUCUCUAGCUGGUAUGAGAGGAUGAUCAGCCACGGUGGGACUGAGACACGGCCCAGACUCCUACGGGGGGAAGCAGUGGGGGAUAUUGCACAAUGUGCGUAGGUCUGAUUCGGCGACUCCGCGUGGGGGAUGAAGGCUUUCGGGUUGUAAGCCUCUUUCGCUAACGAACGGGUAGGUGGAGAAGAAGGGCCGGCUAACUACGUGCCAGCAGCCGCGGUAAUUC